rnacentral:rRNA from 1 species
UACGUAGGGUGCGAGCGUUAAUCGGAAUUACUGGGCGUAAAGCGUGCGCAGGCGGUAAGUUAAGUCUGAUGUGAAAGCCCCGGGCUCAACCUGGGAAUGGCAUUGGAAACUGGCUUGCUAGAGUGUGGCAGAGGGGGGUGGAAUUCCGCGUGUAGCAGUGAAAUGCGUAGAUAUCAGGAGGAACACCUGUGGUGUAGACGGCUCUCUGGACCGCAACUGACGCUGAGACACGAAAGCGUGGGUAGCAAACAGG